CUCUGGCUCCCGCCGCCGCCGCCGCCGCCGCCUCUCCAGCUCCUCCCCCGGCUCCCGCUCCCUCAGUCCCGGCCAACAAUGACCCGGACGGCGCGGAGCCGAACUGAAGCUCCGGCCCGGGCCGGCCGCUCACCGCGGGCCCCCAGCGGCGCGGACGCCUCCCUCCCCCGCGGCCGCGCGCCGGCCUCUCCCGGAGCCGAGCCCGAGCAGCGAGCUAUUGUUCGUGGCGGCACUAGGCCGGCUUCCUGAGCCCCGCAGGAAAAGCCCCGGCGAAGGAGGCGGCUGAGGAGGGGGCGGGGCCGCCGGGCUAGUGCGGGGCCGCCGGGCUCGCCCAGGGGCCCUGCCGCCGCGGUCCCGCGCGCUCAGCUCUCGGCUCGCGCUGCGAUGCUCCCGGCCCGGCGGCGGUCCUCCGCCCUACCCGGCGCCCAGGAGGCUGGAAGUAGAGUAACCAUCUUGGGAGCAGAAGACAACAAAGCCACAAGCUAAGGAUGAUGGAGCAGAAGGAGGAAAGGAGCCUAGGACGCUGAUGCCACCUUGGAGCUCCUGCAAAGACUUGGACUUCUUGGCACCUUCUGUGUGAAGAAAUUUGGGUAUACUAUCUGAUUUCAUCCUCACAGCAGCCCCAUGAAAAAUAUUAUUCUCUCUGCUUCAGAGAUGAGGAAACUGAGAUUCAGAUUGUUUAAGUACCUUGCCCAAAGCCACACUGCUGCUAAAUGAUAGAGCAAAAAUUCAAACCCAAGGUUCGCUUUGGAAACUCCGUCUUCUUCAGGAUGCCACCUCCUUCGGUGGUGUCAUGGACCCAGCCCACAGACCACCUGGAGGAAUCCCAAAUGUCAUCCUCUGAGAACUGAUGUGCUUUCAUCUCUCUCUGGACCUGGUCCAAUGACCUUUUCAAACCCCGAAGUCUUAGAAAAGUCUGCUCUGUUAACUGAAUCUUUACCCAAAGUUCAGACCAUCUAGAGAAAAUCACAGUCCCUUGCUUGUGUUGCUUUCUUCAAAUCCCAGUUUUCCUGCACUGAGAUACUACCAAGAGAUCCUGGGAAAACCUCUGAACUCUAGACUCCUCACUAUUAAAUAAGGAUCUAGGGGCACCUGGGUGGCUCUGUCCGUUAAGCAUCUGACUUUGGCUCAGGUCACAAUCUCACGGUUUGUGGGUUCGAGCCCUAC